rnacentral:pre_miRNA from 1 species
AUAAUACUCCCUCCGUCCGGAAUUACUUGUCAUCAAAAUGGAUGUGUCUAGAACUAAAAUAGAUUUAGAUACAUCCAUUUCAAUGACAAGUAUUUUCGGACGGAGGGAGUAGUAG